rnacentral:rRNA from 1 species
AGCGCAGACGGUUUAUUAAGUCUGAUGUGAAAGCCCGGAGCUCAACUCCGGAAUGGCAUUGGAAACUGGUUAACUUGAGUGCAGUAGAGGUAAGUGGAACUCCAUGUGUAGCGGUGGAAUGCGUAGAUAUAUGGAAGAACACCAGUGGCGAAGGCGGCUUUCUGGACUGUAACUGACGUUGAGGCUCGAAAGUGUGGGUAGCAAACA